GUCGAUGGAGCCGAUUGAGGCUCUGGUGGAUAACUUUGCCAGAGGCGACGAAGAACCGUGUUCUGAAUCGCUGAACUUUAACCCCUUGUGCGAACUUGGAGAGACUUUUACUGGCAGUGGGUUUUUGUUUUGCUUUGGGGACAAUGGUGAUCGAGCAGCAGCUGAGUUGCUUCUCGCGGCAAUUCUCUUCUCUCGUUCUCUUUUCAGUGCUUCCAAUCGCCUAAUACCUUCCUCUUCCUUUUCUUUCUUCUCUUUCUGGAGAUCGGCUUUGUAUGCCCUCAGCUUCUCUGCACGUUUCUGUGCCUCAAUCAACGUGUUCGACUUUGAGGGUGCUACUUUCCUGAUUAUCGGCUCCUUCUUCUUCCCCGCUCCAGUUCGUGCAACUUUUAAAUUCUUUCCACUGUCUGAUUUAGUCGAUACUUCUUCGACACUUGCCGGAACAUUUUCUUGGUUUUCACUUUCAUGAUUAGUAGAUACAUGAAUAGGAA
rnacentral:misc_RNA from 1 species